GGAUCCAGACUUUGAUUCUGGCUCAGGAUGAACGCUAGCUACAGGCUUAACACAUGCAAGUCGAGGGGCAUCAGGAAGAAAGCUUGCUUUCUUUGCUGGCGACCGGCGCACGGGUGAGUAACACGUAUCCAACCUGCCCUUUACUCGGGGAUAGCCUUUCGAAAGAAAGAUUAAUACCCGAUGGCAUAAUGAUUCCGCAUGGUUUCAUUAUUAAAGGAUUCCGGUAAAGGAUGGGGAUGCGUUCCAUUAGGUUGUUGGUGAGGUAACGGCUCACCAAGUCUUCGAUGGAUAGGGGUUCUGAGAGGAAGGUCCCCCACAUUGGAACUGAGACACGGUCCAAACUCCUACGGGAGGCAGCAGUGAGGAAUAUUGGUCAAUGGGCGCUAGCCUGAACCAGCCAAGUAGCGUGAAGGAUGAAGGCUCUAUGGGUCGUAAACUUCUUUUAUAUAAGAAUAAAGUGCAGUAUGUAUACUGUUUUGUAUGUAUUAUAUGAAUAAGGAUCGGCUAACUCCGUGCCAGCAGCCGCGGUAAUACGGAGGAUCCGAGCGUUAUCCGGAUUUAUUGGGUUUAAAGGGAGCGUAGGUGGACUGGUAAGUCAGUUGUGAAAGUUUGCGGCUCAACCGUAAAAUUGCAGUUGAUACUGUCAGUCUUGAGUACAGUAGAGGUGGGCGGAAUUCGUGGUGUAGCGGUGAAAUGCUUAGAUAUCACGAAGAACUCCGAUUGCGAAGGCAGCUCACUGGACUGCAACUGACACUGAUGCUCGAAAGUGUGGGUAUCAAACAGGAUUAGAUACCCUGGUAGUCCACACAGUAAACGAUGAAUACUCGCUGUUUGCGAUAUACAGUAAGCGGCCAAGCGAAAGCAUUAAGUAUUCCACCUGGGGAGUACGCCG
rnacentral:rRNA from 1 species